AUGGCUAAACUAUCGCGCACGUCCAAGCACACGAUUGUUCACGUGCGUUCCCCUCUUGUUCGCUUGGCUCGCCAAAGUCAGCGGCUAACGUCUGCAACAGUUUCCGCUCAAGACGGGCCUCACCAACGUCUACCGCCCGGUGCAAGACCUCCACGGACGCCAAGUGUUUUCUUCCGCCGCUCUUCUUCUCCCACCCAGUCACGUUUGGUGCUACGACGACAACUGCGGUAAGACGUCAUCAAAGUCGCCCGAAUCCGCGUGUGCCGAGCGCAGGAUGGUUGUUUAGCCCAAGUGGGAAG